UGUAGCUCAGUCAGUAGAGUGCUUGCCUAGCAUGCAUGAGUCCUUGGGUUCUAUCCCCAGCA
rnacentral:tRNA from 1 species